rnacentral:rRNA from 1 species
GACGAACGCUGGCGGCGUGCUUAACACAUGCAAGUCGAACGGAAAGGCCCUGCUUUUGUGGGGUGCUCGAGUGGCGAACGGGUGAGUAACACGUGAGUAACCUGCCCUUGACUUUGGGAUAACUUCAGGAAACUGGGGCUAAUACCGGAUAGGAGCUCCUGCUGCAUGGUGGGGGUUGGAAAGUUUCGGCGGUUGGGGAUGGACUCGCGGCUUAUCAGCUUGUUGGUGGGGUAGUGGCUUACCAAGGCUUUGACGGGUAGCCGGCCUGAGAGGGUGACCGGCCACAUUGGGACUGAGAUACGGCCAGACUCCUACGGGAGGCAGCAGUGGGGAAUAUUGCACAAUGGGCGGAAGCCUGAUGCAGCAACGCCGCGUGCGGGAUGACGGCCUUCGGGUUGUAAACCGCUUUCGCCUGUGACGAAGCGUGAGUGACGGUAAUGGGUAAAGAAGCACCGGCUAACUACGUG